rnacentral:rRNA from 1 species
ACGGGAGGCAGCAGCUAAGAAUAUUCCGCAAUGGGGGAAACCCUGACGGAGCGACGCCGCGUGGAUGAUGAAGGCCGGAAGGUUGUAAAAUCCUUUUAUGACUGAGGAAUAAGUAUUCUGAGAGAAACGGAGUAUGGUGACUGUAGGUUAUGAAUAAGCAACGGCUAAUUACGUGCCAGCAGCCGCGGUAACACGUAAGUUGCGAGCGUUGUUCGGAAUUAUUGGGCGUAAAGGGCAUGUAGGCGGUUAUGCAAGCUUGGUGUGAAAGGCAGGGGCUUAACUCCUGGACUGCGUUGAGAACUGUAUAACUAGAGUCACUGAGGGGCAAACAGAAUUCCAGGUGUAGGGGUGAAAUCUGUAGAUAUCUGGAAGAAUACCAAUGGCGAAGGCAGUUUACCAGCAGAUGACUGACGCUGAGGUGCGAAGGUGCGGGGAGCAAACAGGAUUAGAUACCCUGGUA